GUGCAAGCUGAUACAUGCGAGGAAGAGUACACAUGAUCCGAUCAAUUCCAUACUUCACUUGUGUGGUAUAGCCACUAAACUCUUGCCCGAGAGUCAAAGGUGUUGCAUCUUGAGUGUGUGUGCGACCAAUUUUGACAAUAUCUUUGAAUUCAGUAGACUUUGAAAGCAGUGUAGUGUGCAAAUUUCUCAAAUUUGGUAUUAAUCUUGAAUUUAUUUCUGUUGCAGCUGCAAUGUGCAUUACAGUUGGGAAGGUAUCAUUAGAAGACUGUGAUCUGUUCACAUGGUCAUUUGGAUGUACAAACUUUUCCCCACGCUUAUGUCCAAGAAUCUCAGCAGCUCUAUUGGCAAUAACCUCAUUUGCAUUCAUGUUACUCUGGGUGCCGCUGCCAGUCUGCCAUACAACAAGUGGGAAAUGAUCAUUUAGCUUCCCUUCAGCCACCUCUUGAGCAGCUUGCAUUAUAGCCUUCCCUAUGGAUGGAUCAAGCCCAUACUCCAUGUUCACCUUGGCAGCGCACUUCUUAAGAAUUCCAAAGGCACGAAUGAUUGGUUCAGGCAUCUGCUCACGCUCGCCGCCAAUUUCAAAAUUUUGCAAUGAUCUUUGAGUUUGUGCACCCCACAACUUAUCAGCGGGAACUUGAAUGGGUCCAAAAGUGUCUCGCUCUUCCCUGAAGGCCGUAGAAUACAAUCUCCAGCUCGCAUGACGCAAUGAAACGACCGUCUGCGAAGUUGUCGAUCCACGAGAAAGGCGCCGAACCACAACCCCCAUCGCCAUUUUUUUUCAACUAAAUCCUAAACGGAGUCGAAGCUGAGACGCUGAAGAUUUGGAGGAUGCGAACGUUGAGGAGUUUGCUUUACCCAACGCGACGGACAGCGACGGAUAAGAAGAUGAAAAUGGAGUCGGGCCCUGAUCGAACACUAGUAAAAUGGCACGUGACGCCGUGAUGGGGAAUUCUUUGGGCUUUUUUUUCUAUUUUUUUUUUUUAAUUCAAUUUUGAGCGUCUGUUUGGGAGCAUGGCUGCGCUACGGUCAAAUAGAGACUGCCAAUGCUGAGUGGAGGAAAGGUGUCCAAUGGGGAUGGGUUGUUCAACUCGAAUGACGGUGUUGCUGCGGGAUUAAUCAUAAAAUCGUUUGCAGCCUACAAUAUUAUCUUCUGUAUUAAGGGUUUUUUAUUUACUUUGAUCAAUAAGCUAAAUUGCGCAAUUA
rnacentral:misc_RNA from 1 species